GUUCGAGCCUAGUUAGGAGUUUGGGUAGACAAGUGUCUACAACCUAUGUGAUUUUUUUCUUUUGUAAAUCUACACUUCCUUUAUGGCCCAUCUCAAUUGUACAACACGCCGGUUCACAUGGCACCACGUCUUUGCAGUAAGCUUGAACCAGCCCAGCCCAGCCCAUUUUUUGUUUAUUUUUCGAAGGAGGAUCAUACACUCCAUUCUGGUAAGCCCAAAUCUAGAGGUCAAUCUUGGGCUGAUAUGCCAGCCCAAUCGGCUCACGUAGUACGACAAUAAUUGGGCCGUCAUUUAGCCUGUGAAAAGA
rnacentral:lncRNA from 1 species